rnacentral:rRNA from 1 species
GUCGAGCGGUAACAGAUCCAGCUUGCUGGAUGCUGACGAGCGGCGGACGGGUGAGUAAUGCAUAGGAAUCUGCCCGAUAGUGGGGGAUAACCUGGGGAAACCCAGGCUAAUACCGCAUACGUCCUACGGGAGAAAGGGGGCUUCGGCUCCCGCUAUCGGAUGAGCCUAUGUCGGAUUAGCUAGUUGGUGAGGUAAAGGCUCACCAAGGCAACGAUCCGUAGCUGGUCUGAGAGGAUGAUCAGCCACAUCGGGACUGAGACACGGCCCGAACUCCUACGGGAGGCAGCAGUGGGGAAUAUUGGACAAUGGGGGCAACCCUGAUCCAGCCAUGCCGCGUGUGUGAAGAAGGCCCUCGGGUUGUAAAGCACUUUCAGCGAGGAAGAACGCCUAGCGGUUAAUACCCGCUAGGAAAGACAUCACUCGCAGAAGAAGCACCGGCUAACUCCGUGCCAGCAGCCGCGGUAAUACGGAGGGUGCAAGCGUUAAUCGGAAUUACUG